AGUGAACGCUGGCGGUAGGCCUAACACAUGCAAGUCGAACGGCAGCACCGUAAGAGCUUGCUCUUACGGGUGGCGAGUGGCGGACGGGUGAGGAAUAAAUCGGACUCUACUUUUUCGUGGGGGAUAACGUAGGGAAACUUACGCUAAUACCGCAUACGACCUACGGGUGAAAGCAGGGGAUCUUCGGACCUUGCGCGAUUGAAUGAGCCGAUGUCGGAUUAGCUAGUUGGCGGGGUAAAGGCCCACCACGGCGACGAUCCGUAGCUGGUCUGAGAGGAUGAUCAGCCACACGGGAACUUAGACACCCUCCAUACUCCUGCGGGAGGCAGCAGUCGCGAACGUUGGACAGUGGUCGCAAGCCUUAUCCAGCCAUACCGCGUGUGAUAAGAAGGCCUUCCGUUUGUAAUGCCCUUCUUCUGGUAGAGAAAAUCAUCAGGUUGAGACCCCGCUGUACUGACGGUACCCAAAGAAUAAGCACCGGCUAACUACGUG
rnacentral:rRNA from 1 species